rnacentral:ncRNA from 1 species
ACGGAAGCCGGGUGAGGCCAAGGCCGAGCCGGAAGAGAAGGCUCGAUCUCCCGAUCUCGGCUCCCCAGCACGGGUCCCGGAACCCACGCGGCGCACAUGCCGCGGAACGGCAAAAGUGUUGCGGGCCUGCGUAAGUGCGAAGAUCGGAUGACAUCGACGGCCCUUUGGGUGGGGUCGCAGUCGAAGCGGAUCGCACAGGCGCCGAGGCCACCCACGCAACCCCAUACGCACGCAUGGUAACCGGAGGCUCGUGCUCGCGGGCGGCGCGCCGAAGUACUUUUCGAAUUACUUCGGACGCCGCCCGUUUUCUUUU